rnacentral:rRNA from 1 species
CGCGAACGGUUUCUUCGGAGACCUAGUAGAGUGGCGCACGGGUGAGUAACGCGUAAAUAAUCUACCCUGAUGUCUGGGAUAACCGGCCGAAAGGCUGCCUAAUACCGGAUACAUGUUUAUCCGCAAGGAUAACCAGGAAAGGUGGCCUCUUCUUGAAAGCUACCGCAUUGGGAUGAGUUUGCGUACCAUUAGCUAGUUGGUGGGGUAAUGGCCCACCAAGGCGACGAUGGUUAGCGGGUCUGAGAGGAUGAUCCGUCACACUGGCACUGGAACACGGGCCAGACUCCUACGGGAGGCAGCAGUGAGGAAUAUUGCGCAAUGGGGGAAACCCUGACGCAGCGACGCCGCGUGAGUGAGGAAGGCCUUCGGGUCGUAAAGCUCUGUCAGAUGGGAAGAAGUGCUAUACGGUUAAUACCCGUACAGUUUGACGGUACCAUCAAAGGAAGCACCGGCUAACUCCGUGCCAGCAGCCGCGGUAAUACGGAGGGUGCAAGCGUUGUUCGGAAUCACUGGGCGUAAAGGGCGCGCAGGCGGUUUUAUAAGUCAGAUGUGAAAGCCCACGGCUUAACCGUGGAAGUGCAUUUGAAACUGUAAGACUUGAGUAUCAGAGGGGAAAGUGGAAUUCCCGGUGUAGAGGUGAAAUUCGUAGAUAUCGGGAGGAAUACCGGUGGCGAAGGCGACUUUCUGGCUGAAUACUGACGCUGAGGCGCGAAAGCGUGGGGAGCA